UUCCGUGAUGAACGAGUGAUUUUAUCACUAUAAUCCCAGCUCUUAGAUCACCUCACUUGAUCAACGCUCGAGGUGACUUGAUAAAACGUCCCAUCUGAUAUC
rfam:Pseudocercospora fijiensis CIRAD86 unplaced genomic scaffold MYCFIscaffold_1, whole genome shotgun sequence.